rnacentral:rRNA from 1 species
GACGAACGCUGGCGGCGUGCUUAACACAUGCAAGUCGAACGGAAAGGCCCUGCUUUUGUGGGGUGCUCGAGUGGCGAACGGGUGAGUAACACGUGAGUAACCUGCCCUUGACUUGGGAUAACUUCAGGAAACUGGGGCUAAUACCGGAUAGGAGCUCCUGCUGCAUGGUGGGGGUUGGAAAGUUUCGGCGGUUGGGGAUGGACUCGCGGCUUAUCAGCUUGUUGGUGGGGUAGUGGCGUACCAAGGCGUUGACGGGUAGCCGGCCUGAGAGGGUGACCGGCCACAUUGGGACUGAGAUACGGCCCAGACUCCUACGGGAGGCAGCAGUGGGGAAUAGUGCACAAUGGGCGGAAGCCUGAUGCAGCAACGCCGCGUGCGGGAUGACGGCCUUCGGGUUGUAAACCGCUUUCGCCUGUGACGAAGCGUGAGUGACGGUAAUGGGUAAAGAAGCACCGGCUAACUACGUG